rnacentral:misc_RNA from 1 species
GAUGAAGAACGUAGCGAAAUGCGAUAAGUAGUGUGAAUUGCAGAAUUCAGUGAAUCAUCGAAUCUUUGAACGCACAUUGCGCCCCUUGGUAUCCCGAGGGGCAUGCCUGUUCGAGCGUCAUUUCACCACUCAAGCCUGGCUUGAUGUUGGGCGACGUCCUCUUUGGGGACGCGCCUCGAAACGCUCGGCGGCGUGGCACCGGCUUUAAGCGUAGCAGAAUCUUUCGCUUUGGAAGUCGGGGCCCCGUCUGCCGGAAGACCUGCUCGCAAGGUUGACCUCGGAUCAGGCAGGGAUACCCGCUGAACUUAAGCAUAUCAAUAAGCGGAGGA